UGGGCCUGAGGUCAUUGCCUUUGCUUUGUAUAUUUCUGCCUCCUUUUUUUAUCUGAAGGCAAAUAAGUUAUUGUCCUUAACCUUCCCUCUUGGGUCUCUUGGGAUUCUUGAAACAGUACAAAGGACAUACUCUAUUUCCCAGGUAAAGACAAUUAUUCACAAGGGUGAGGCUAUACCCUAGACGAGAGCAAUAAUCCCUGAGAACUACCUUGUCUCCUAAAGCAACAAGAACUUUCUCAGACCACCUUCACGACCUUGCAUGACCCAGAUGUGGUACAGUCAUCAAGAGACAGAAGAACACGAAGAGAAGAUGUAACUGAGCUGAAAAUGUUGUUUAGUGUUCUUAGUGCCUGAAAAUGUUAUGCAAGCUGCUGGAAGAGAAAAGCCAUCAAUAUUUUUUUUGCUGCUAUGAACCCUGCAUGCUACAACCUGGAACUGGCAGGCAAGAUGUGCUCUCUGCUGCACUCACGGCAUGACUGUCUGGGGGAUAACCAACCAGUUUCUUAUUGAACUGAGGCCCACUUCACAAGAGGAUUCCUUGGAUGAAGUCAAGAGGUAUCAUUUGGAAGCAGCCUUUGCCUGACACUGAACCGGCCAGCUUCUUGAUAUUGUACUUCACAGCAAGUGAG